rnacentral:siRNA from 1 species
AUCCGUCAGUCCUUGACUCGCCA